GAUCCUGGCUCAGGACGAACGCUGGCGGCGUGCCUAACACAUGCAAGUCGAGCGGAGACAGUGAGUAGCUUGCUACGAGCUGUUUUAGCGGCGGACGGGUGAGUAACGCGUGAGCAACCUUUCCCAGACAGGGGAAUAACACACCGAAAGGCGUACUAAUACCGCAUAAGACCACGGGAUCACAUGGUUCUGGGGUAAAAGAAUUAUCGGUUUGGGGUGGGCUCGCGUCCGAUUAGGUAGUUGGUGAGGUAACGG
rnacentral:rRNA from 1 species